GACGAACGCUGGCGGCGUGCUUAACACAUGCAAGUCGAACGCUGAAGCUCAGCUUUUGUUGGGUGGAUGAGUGGCGAACGGGUGAGUAACACGUGAGUAACCUGCCCCCUUCUUUGGGAUAACGCCCGGAAACGGGUGCUAAUACUGGAUAUUCACUGGUCUUCGCAUGGGGGUUGGUGGAAAGGGUUUUUCUGGUGGGGGAUGGGCUCGCGGCCUAUCAGCUUGUUGGUGGGGUGAUGGCCUACCAAGGCUUUGACGGGUAGCCGGGCUGAGAGGGUGACCGGGCACAUUGGGACUGAGAUACGGCCCAGACUCCUACGGGAGGCAGCAGUGUGGAAUAUUGCACAAUGGGCGCAAGCCUGAUGCAGCGACGCCGCGUGAGGGAUGGAGGCCUUCGGGUUGUGAACCUCUUUCGCUCAUGGUCAAGCCGCAACAAUGGUUGUGGUGAGGGUAGUGGGUAAAGAAGCGCCGGCUAACUACGUG
rnacentral:rRNA from 1 species